UUAAAUUGAAGAGUUUGAUCAUGGCUCAGAUUGAACGCUGGCGGCAGGCCUAACACAUGCAAGUCGAACGGUAACAGGAAGCAGCUUGCUGUUUUGCUGACGAGUGGCGGACGGGUGAGUAAUGUCUGGGAAACUGCCUGAUGGAGGGGGAUAACUACUGGAAACGGUAGCUAAUACCGCAUAACGUCGCAAGACCAAAGAGGGGGACCUUAGGGCCUCUUGCCAUCGGAUGUGCCCAGAUGGGAUUAGCUAGU
rnacentral:rRNA from 1 species